GCGAUAUUUGUAGAGAAGGCUUGCAGUUGGCUUUAGAAAAUGUAGAAAGAGCACUUAAUACCUCCAGCAUGUCUAGUUCAGCUAUGUUAUCGAAUGUGACUGAAAAUACAACAAGUAACACCCCACCAGUACCCAGUCAAGCCCCCACAUCACCUCAAAAUGCAAGGCUCUAGUGCUAGCACUGCAAGCACGUCGUUAUUACGGAAUCAAUAUUCAAGUCAGCUUGGUACAUCAAAUGAA